rnacentral:rRNA from 1 species
UACGAAGGGAGCUAGCGUUGUUCGGAAUCACUGGGCGUAAAGCGCACGUAGGCGGAUGUGUCAGUCAGGGGUGAAAUCCCGGGGCUCAACCUCGGAACUGCCUUUGAUACAGCACGUCUUGAGUCCGAUAGAGGUGGGUGGAAUUCCUAGUGUAGAGGUGAAAUUCGUAGAUAUUAGGAAGAACACCGGUGGCGAAGGCGGCCCACUGGAUCGGUACUGACGCUGAGGCGCGAAAGCGUGGGGAGCAAACAGG